rnacentral:rRNA from 1 species
AAUCAACGCUGGCGGCGUGCCUCAGACAUGCAAGUCGAACGAUUAAAGCUCUCUUCGGAGAGUGUAUAGAGUGGCGCACGGGUGAGUAACACGUAAGUAAUCUACCCUCGAGUGGGGAAUAACGUCCGGAACGGACGCUAAUACCGCAUAAUGCAGCGGCACCGCAAGGUGACAGUUGUUAAAGGAGUAAUUCGCUUGAGGAGGAGCUUGCGGCAGAUUAGCNGUUGGUAAGGUAACGGCUUACCAAGGCUACGAUCUGUAUCCGGUCUUAGAGGACGGUCGGACACACUGACACUGAAUAACGGGUCAGACUCCUACGGGAGGCAGCAGUCGGGAAUUUU